UUGUGGUGAGGGGCAGGGACCAGGCGCGCUGGCCUGCCAGCCCACCUCUGGGAGGUACAGGGCACUACACAGUAGCCUCCCCGAAGUGGUCACGUGAGAAUGACUUCCACUCAAGGCAUCCUCCACGGAAAACACUUCUCCCUGUCACUGAAGAGAAAAAAAAAAAAAAAAAAAAAAAAGCAAGCGGCUGUUGUGAGUGCCGGGGGGUGGGGAGGAGCUGGUAAUAACUCUUGCAGUCAUCCACACCCUCGCCAGUUGGUGGUUACCAAGAUCCCAGACACUUCCUAAUGCCAGACAAAUGCCCCAAGCCUCGGCAUGUCUGGCUUGGAGAUCUAUUCAACUGAUAGCCCCCGCCUUUCCUAGGGAGAGCCCCACUACCCGGCUAAUCAAACAAAACAUUGUUCUCAGAAGGCAGAACGAAAGGCUUGUCUCUGGGCCACGACGGCGACGACGACGUUUGGGGUUUAUUUAAUAUCUAUAUGCCCCCAACUAAAAGGUUGCUACAAAACUUGGGCUUCCUGAGACGAGGUUGUUUUGCACAGAGCGUGCACUGUAUAAAAAUUCCAGGAGGGGAGGAAUCAGAAAGUUAGGAACCAUUAAAAAAAAAAAAAAAAAAAGCCCCAGGCACUUGAUGCCUGGAAAUGAUGUAAGACGCAGCCACUCCUCUGUUAGACCUACAACCCAACCAAACGGCGCUCACAUCCACCGCAGCCGGCUCUCCAAAUGUCAGCACCAGCGCUGGGCAAAGCUUGAAACCCACCAGGCUUCAGGAGGGUUUGCCAUCCACAUUUUCCCCCGCGCACUCUCAGGAACCUGGCAACAGGUAACGUGGCAACCUUUGACUUCUAAAACGGCGAGUGGGAUAAUUUCAGGGAGCACAUGGAUUGUUUCCCAGCCAGCUGCAUCUCUCCUACCGCCCCCGCACCCGACUUCCUCCCUCCCCAAUCCAAAGUCUGGGAAAACAAACUCAGGGCUGCGGGCUACCCUGCUCUUGGGCGUACCCUGGUGGCCGAGACCGGAACAACAUGCACGUGCUCGGAGCUCCGCGGCAAUUCCUGCUGGUAAGUGGCGUUGUGGAAGCGGGCUGUUGGCCCUGCGGACUUGUUUCCGGUAAAGAGCUGGAAUCCAUCCAGAAUAUCUUCAUUUUUUUUUGUUGUUGUUGUUGUUUGUUUUCGAGACUGGGUUUCUCUGUGUGGCCUUGGCUGUCCUGGCACUCACUCUGUAGCCCAGGCUGCCCUAGAACUCAGCCUCUGGCUCCUGAGUGCUGGGAUUAAAGGGGUGCACCUCCACGCCCAGCUCCAGAACGUCUUUAUUUUUUAUCUAAGCACAUUAACAAUUUUCCCACCUGUAUGCUGAGUAGACCCUCUGGACUAGGACCUAGAAUCAAUGAGGGUAAACACUGGGCAUUCUGCGAGAUGCAUGGCAGGUCGCACAGGGCUGUGAUUCCUUCCUCCUGAGGCUGAUGGGGGAGGAUCAGGGUUCAAGACCAGCCUGGGCUCCCUAGUCAGACUCGGUCUUGAAAACGCAUCAACAAAAAUGGGAUUCCUGCUGUGACGACUCCCAUCCCCCCCUCCCUGUUUGUCUUCAAGUGUAUUCUGCAUGCAGACACCUUUUGGGCCUGCAGCGUUCCUAAUCAGCCCUGUUGGGUUCCUAUCUGCAAGGAUUACUGAAGAUUUCCACACUGCCAGACCAGCUUCCCAGACAGCAGCCUCCAAGCUCCAGCUACACCCAGGAAAAUGCCAGCGGCAGUGUUUUUAGGCCGUCUGAUCCGCGCAGACACUGCCCCACCCCUUCUGCUGGGCAGGAAUGGAGACCCACCGUUGUGGGCUGCUGUUAGCCCCAGGACCUGGUACUCCUUGGUUCUGCAUCUGGAAAUGGUACCCGGAAACUGAGAGGUUCAGAUCAAAGUAAUUGUUCUUUUUCAGAAACUUCCAUUAAUUAACUAAAUUAGAGGACACUGAAUGAUGCUGGGGGUGGAGGUGUUUCUGUAGAAGGCUCAGGUCCAGGGGUUAUGGUCUGAGCCCUGUAAUACAGACUUUUAAUGAAGUUUGACAGUCAAUUAAAUAAUACUAGAAGCUGAAAAGUUACCAUAUGUGAAAGCAGCCCAUGCCUGUAAACCAUAGACAUUGGAAUAGCAUUUGCCCAGACCAUUUAAGGUCAAAGAUUAAAGCUUGGGAGUCUGAGUAGGCAUGGGUUGGCCCCUGGCUAAUGUGAAUGGCAGCCUGUUGAGAGGCCAGGGCACCUGUGUUGAAAUCUGGAUAUUUCAAUCUUCAGGCUUACUAAUUUCCAAGGCGGGAGUGUUGUUCUCAGUUGGGAAUUUGAUCUGGACUUCACACUUGAUUUUCCCAGCUUUGCUAACAGGUGCUGUUGAGUCAUCUGGGCACACAGAUGACUGCCCUGGACGUUUCAUCACUGCGAAGAUUUCAUUUCCAUUUGCCCCAUGACUUUGUGGAGUGAUUUCUACCAUUGACCCAGAUCACUUCCUCUUAGACUUAGGGGAUUGUUUUUUUUUUUUUUUUCCUUCUUCAGCAUUUGUAAUCAUGUGUGUGUGUUUUUCAAAAUAACGUCCCAGCCUGGCUCACAGGUCUUCCUGAGUUGAAUGGACUGUUUACAGAAAGGGAAGAUUCAGGGCCCAAGGUCAGGGUUACAGAAUUAUAUAAGGUUUCCUGUUUGGGCAGCUGGUCUACCAACCCUUCAGUUAGGCCGGACUGAGUUUUGAUGAAAGACAGCAUGCCAGCUGGGUGUGGUGGCAUACACCUGUAACUUAGCACGCGGGAAUAUCAGAAGUCCAAAGUCAGGCCACCCAAAGCUGUGUAUAAAAACUCAGAACUACUAGGAGACUAGUGUGGAAAUGAUGCCAGGAGCAAGAAAAGUGAUGUCUUUGACAUUCUCAUCAGCCAACCAGCUUUCAUUUGUCUUCAGAUGCCGAUUCUCGGCCAUUUGGCUGGCUCUAUAUUCUAUUCACUUUUUCUUUUUUCCUGGCCAGAUUGAGAGAAGGACAUUCACUAAGGAGGUAGGAAGCACACAGCCAGGUAUUCUUAUCUGUCUCACCCACGGAUGACACCGCAGUUCUUAGAACAGGUUGGCAUAUAUGGUUAGGGUUUUAUCAUGGCAUUUCCCCAAGAACCCUUUCUCUACCUCAUCUCAAGAGACUGAGCUUAGAUUCACGAAUACUACAACUAACCCGAAUGGAACUCACAAACAACUACCUGCUUGGUUCUGGUACACAGACUGCAGCUGACUUGGCUCACCCGAGGCCAUAGAUGUGGAGAGGAUUCCCGUAUUGGAGGAGAGUAUCAAGCUCACGGUAUUUGUUUGUGUCCCUUCAGGAAGUGAGGAGCCUGUUUACAAAUCCGAAUACAUUUACAUCUAUGGGAGCCCAGGCCUGGUAAUUCCUAAGUGACUCGGGUGAGGCUUUAUUGGGAGCCCUUCACAGCCCCUUAGCCUAGGCACUGAGAGCAGCCUGGAGAAUGUAUUGGGAAGCCUUGUACCUUGGAAAACAGGAUUUGUGCUUAAGUGAAGAAAGGAAACCCAUUUCCCCUUCUUACUGGUUUCUGGAAGGCGGGGUCUGUGGGAGGUGCCAGCAGCCCCAGGCGAUGCAGAUAAGCUUUUAAUUAACCAUCUACUUUCUUCCUUCCUCCUAGAAACCCUCCUUUUUUCAAAGGGAAAAUUAUUCUGUUAAUCUGUAUUGGACUCUGUGGUCCAGAAAGGAUGUCUGUUCCUCACCCAUACUCAGAUAGCAUGAUCGGCCCUGAGAAUGACAGAUUCUCUCUGCCUGUGUCAUUGGCAGCUGAGGACACAAAUCUAAGAAAAUUGCCCAGGUGACCCUCAGGGCUCUUUCCCACUGUAGGACUAUUUAACGUGUCCCUCAAAGGCUUCGCUGGUCACCCUCGGGUAUAGCUCGGUGGCCGAGCACACGCCUAGCAUGUACAGGGAUCUAUUUCUAGCAUGGGAAAAAAAGGACAGGAGGAACUAUUGCGUGCUUGGCAUUUGCCAGAUUUCAGUUAAAACCCUUUUGAAGUUAAGAUUAAAACUGGUAUCAAGUUACUCCCACCUCUCGCCUGCUCAUUGACGGAGUGUUAAUGAACCUAAGGCUGUAGCUGGUCUCAUUAAAUCCCCAAAACAACCCUGCAGAGGAGGGGAUGGCCUGCAGAUAAAAAUGAGGCCAAGAAAGAGGUUGUUUUGCUCUAAUUCUCCCAGGACAGAGCUGGCUGGGAAGUUGUUCAUCUCCUCACAGACACCUACUUAGUUUUCAAAGACAUGCUGCUGUAUCUGCUGGUUAUGGUGGGUGAACACUUGUAAUCCCCGAACUGGAGAGGUAGAGGCAGAAGGAUCGGGUUCAAGGCUAGCUUCAGCUACACUGCGAUUUCAAGGCCGGCCUGGGCUACAUGAGACACUGUCUCAAAACAAUAAUGGCAAAAAGAUUCUGCCUUUGGAUUUUGGCAAGGGCAGCGCUACCAGAAGCUCAUGUUGGAAACUCAGCCAACAAUCCCUGGAAUGCAUGGAUCGCAGACAGCUGAUAUGUAGUGAUCCAAUACUUGAUCGAGGCUCUGAAACUCUUGGUGUAGUCAUACUGUUGGCAGUUUCGGAGGCGUCAGGGAAUAGCCUGCAGGGGUACUCACUUUCUGUACUGGACCACCCCUAGAAAGUAGUUUGUGUAAAGUUUAAUAUUUCAGUUUUAUUUUGUUUAUUUAUUUUGAGACAGUGUUUCCCUGUGUAGUUUGUAGCCCUGGCUGUCCUAGAACUCUGAAGACCAGGUUAGUCUUGAAAGAGAGCUUCCUUGCUGGGCGGUGAUAUCCCACGCAUUUAGUCCCAGCACUCAGGAGGCAGAGGCAGGUGAUCUCUGUGAGUUUGAGGCCAGCCUGGUCUACAGAGCGAGUUCCAGGACAGCCAGGGCUAUAUAGAGAAACCCUU